rnacentral:sRNA from 1 species
UAAGUAAUCUAUUUUGAAACGUAAUUCGAGCUACUAUUUUAGUUUAAGACUCCUUUUGCCUAUCAAUAAUUUAUUGCAUCAAUCAACGUAUUUUGAUACGUAUCAGGAGGAAAUAUACAUGAAUAACGGUACAGUAAAAUGGUUUAAUGCAGAUAAAGGUUUUGGUUUCAUCACAGCUGAAGACGGAAAUGAUGUUUUUGCACAUUUCUCAGCUAUCCAAGGUGACGGAUUCAAAACAUUAGACGAAGGUCAAGCAGUGACUUUUGAUAUUGAAGACGGUCAACGUGGCCCUCAAGCAGUUAACAUCGUUAAAGCUUAAUCAUUGAAUGAACAAAAGGCCUCUCUUAAAU